UGGUAACCCGUUGGGGUUUUCUGUGCUGUGAUAAGGUUUGUUCGUUUGCAUUUGGCGUCUGCGUUGCCUUUAUGAGCUGUAGCGCUCACUGCGAAAAUUGGUGAGACGACUCUGUGAAAGUUGCAACUUCAUUUCUGAAGUGGGUGAGACGACGAGCCCAUUAGGAGGAACGGAACACUCACUGCGAAAGUUGCAAUUUCAUUUCUAUAGUGGGUGAGACGACGAGCCCAGUGAGAGUGAACGAACAACUCCAGGCGCGCCGCCUUAAGAGCUAUAGUAUUCACUGAGGGUUUGCGGUUUUAUUCUUGAAGUCAGUGAAACCAAAAACCAAUUUCUGGGUGUAAAAAGACCAAGGUUCUUGCAAGGUUGCUCCUCCCAAAUUCCUUCAGAUAGGGGAAGACACACAGUUUACAAGAACAUUUUGAAUCUUACUCAUUUUCAAGUAUAUAAUAUAUAUUUUUAAUUGUAGCCAACAUGACUUACAAUAAGUAAACUUAAAAAGAUAUAAGCCACCCAUGUUGGGUGUGGGGGUACAUGCCAGUAAUCCCAGCUGCGUGGGAGGCUGAGGUGGGGUAGAUUGCUGGAGUCCAGGAAUUUGAGGCCAGCCUGGGCAACAUAACACCCCAUUUCUGAAAGUAAACAAAGCCCUAAUUAUGUUCAUUUUCCCCCUUCAUUUUCAGAUUUCCCAUUUUGGCCACGCUUCACAUGCGACACAUAUAGAAGUACACAGCAGCUUCCCCCCUUACCUGCAAGGGAUAUGUUCAGAGAUCUCCAGUGGAUGCCUGAAACUAUGGAUAGUACUGAAUCCUAUAUAUACUGUUUUUUUCUAUACAUAUAAUAAAGUUUAUAAAUUAGGUACAGUAAGAGAUUAAAAACUCAAAAUAUGAGUUAAACUCAUAUGCAAUAUAAUAUAUGCAAUAAAAUUGAAAUACUGUCAAACUCUGUAAAGUAUUUGAAGAGAUUUGUUCUGAGCCAAAUGUGAGUGACCGUGGCCUCUGACACAGCCCCUGGAGAUCCUGAGAACACGUGCCCAAGGUGGUGGUGGUCAGGGGGGAGCUUCUGGGUCGCAGGUGGAUUCCAAGAUUUUCUGGUUGAAAGUUCAUCUAAAGACCUGAAAUCAAUAGAAGGGAGUGUGUGGGUUAAGAUAAGGUGUUGUGGAGACCAAGGGUCUUAUUCUGCAGAUGAAGCGAGCAGGCUUCAGAGAGCAUCUAUUGUAAAUGUCUCUUUUCAGACUCUCCUGGAUCAGGAGAAAGACCCGGAAAGGGAAGGAGAUUAUCUACAAAAAUGUAGAUUUUCCCCACAAGAGGCAGCUUUGCAGGGCCAUUUCAAAAUAUGUCAAAGAAAUAUGUUUUGGGGUAAAAUACUUCAAUUUCUUUCAGGGCCCGUUGUCUGUCAUGUUGGUAGCUAAUUGCUAGAUAGAGUCUGUUUUGUCAGCGUUAAGGUCUGUUUUAAUGUAAUGCUGGUCAGCUGUGCCUGAAUUCCAACGGGAGGAAGGUAGAAUGAGGCAUGUCUGAGCCCCUCCUCCCUAUUUCACAUCGUGGCCUGAACUAGUGUUUCAGGUUUACUUUCGAAUGCCUUUGGCUGAGAGGAGGGGUCCAUUUGGUUGGGGGGCUUAGAAUUUUAUUUUUGGGCCAGGCUUGGUGGUUCAUGCCUAUAAUCCCAGCGCUUUGGGACGCUGAGGCGGGCGGAUCACCUGAGGUCGGGAGUUCGAGACCAGCCUGACCAACACAGAGAAACCCUGUCUCUACUAAAAAUACAAAAUUAUCUGGGCGUGGUGGCGCAUGCCUGUAAUCCCAGCUACUCGGAAGGCUGAGGCAGGAGAAUCGCUUGAACCCAGGAGGCGGAGAUUGCGGUGAGCCGAGAUCGCGCCGUUGCACUGCAGCCUGGGCAAUAAGAGUUAAGCUCCAUCUCAAAAAAAAAAAAAAAAAGUAUUUUAUUUUUGGUUUACAAUAACAUACUGUAAUAAAAGUUACGUAAAUAUAGGCCAGGCGCGGUGGCUCACGCCUGUAAUCCUAGCACUUUGGGAGGCUGAGGCCGGCAGAUCACUUGAGGUCAGGAGUUUGAGACCAGCCUGGUCAACAUGGUAAAACCCCAUCUCUACUAAAAAUACAAAAAUUAGCCGGGCGUGGUGGUGCACCCCUGUAAUCCUAACUACUCAGGAGGCUGAGGCAGGAGAAUCUCUUGAACCAGGGAGGUGGAAGUUGCAGUGAGCCAAGAUCACGCUGCACUGCAGCCUGGGGGACAAGAGCGAAACUCCGUCUCAAAAAAAGUUAUGUAAAUAUGAUCUCUCUCUCUCCCUCUCUCUCUCUCACACCCACAGUGCUGUACUCACCUAUUUUUGGACCAUGGGUAACUGAAACACUGGAAAAUGAAACCUUCAAUAACUGGUAACUACUGUGUAGGUGCCAUGUAGGGUUUGUGGACUCCUAAUGAGGAAAAAGGAGUGAGGCUGGCAGGACCAGGGGAAAGCAAAGAGAGAAAGCAGAUAAGCUAUAGGUUCGCUUUUCUUUAUGGCCCAAGACAUAUGGCCCACCUGUGC
rnacentral:lncRNA from 1 species